rnacentral:tRNA from 2 species
GCGGGUGUAGCUCAACGGUAGAGUCCUGGCCUUCCAAGCCAGUUGCGUGGGUUCGAUUCCCAUCACCCGCUCCA